CGCCGGGGAUUUUGAAGAGGAAACGUUCGAGGGUUUUGUUGGAUUUGGAAAUAAACUGAGGGGGCCUCUCGGUAUUGCGUAAGUUUCAGUGAGAACCCCGCCUCACCCUUCUAGACUCCAUCAAGUACAGAUCCAAAGUCCUUAAACAUUCCUCAUAUGAUGAGACUUUCAUUCCCAGGACCAGGACGCUUGUGACACGAACGAUUGACCAUGCCCUGACGGGAAAGGAUGACCCCCCACCCGCAUACCAGGCAGCGGGGCUGGAGGAGCCUGUGAUGGGGGCACCCCAUGGAAAGAUUACGGGAUCGGUAUCAGAGGGAAUGGAGGAGAUAUGCCUGAGAGAGAAGCGCGGGACAACUUAUGAUUUUACUUUAUAACUGUAUCUCUCAUUUCUAAUCCUUCCCAUAUUAGGGCCUCAGAAUGUGAGGGCUGAGGUGCAGAGACCCCCUAGUUGUGUAUUUUUUUUUUCUUUCCCGUUCAAAUUGACAACAGGUAAAUUUGUGCUUUUAUGCUGCAGUUAGAGAUUGUGAAGUGCUAUAUGCCUCGAGACUCAAGAGACUAUUGUUCACUCAAGAGAUUCCUAGCCAUCAUCUGGUAUUCCUAAAUGGCUUCGAUUGGUCUCGACGGCCACUGUUCACAAUGAUAAGCCAGUUACCGCUGCCCGUGUCCGUACUUGACAGCUGUAAAAUGGAUGUGGGUUUUUAUUGGUCAAGUGAAGGUGACUGGUUAGCCAAUGACAGGUAAGAUUCCUCGAGCGAGGGACAACCUAAGACAGGCACAGUCGUGCAUUGACCUUCAGAAUAAUGUCCUGUGGUCAUGUGGUUUUAACAGAUGCCUGGCUUUUGUAUCCGUGUCGGGAAUCUGGUCAAGUUUCUGGCUUGCAAAGCAGCUUGAUAUAAGGAAAAUCGUGGACCCAGCAGUUUGACAUUGUAUUCACUGUAUUUUUGACAAAGGAAAAUGCCAGUUUUGUGGCAUCUUCCAGAACCGACUUAACACAAACCUUUGGGAAGGAAGGAGAGCUCAUUGAAUCCUAUUACAAAAAAGAUUUGACACUAUGUCAGUAGUUUGAAAAUUUAUUUUAAGAUGUCAUGGUAUAAUACGACCGAUUUUACUGGGAGGUUGUACAAUUGGGUGUUCUUUGGACAGCAGACCUUCAUUCUGCAGGCGUCCUAACUCAUCCACUUUGUGUUUUCCUCUGGUUCUCUUCGCUUUUGUUAUCAUACUCAGUAUGAAUGUUUUUUUUUAAUCGUUUUGUUGGUUUUGAGAUAGCUUUUUGUAGAUGUUUUCUUUAAAAGAAGUAACCUAGAUUUGCCUACUAUUU